rnacentral:lncRNA from 1 species
UCAGGCAAACCUGUGGAGGGGCUCAUGUGGCAAAGAGCUGAAGCCUUCUGGUCAGGCCAGUGAGGAGCAGUGGCAUCCUUCCAGCAGCCAUUGGCACCAUUCCAUGAUCUGGCAGCUGGAGCAGCAGGAGGGGAGGGGCCAAGUGGAUGCCAGGAACCUGAUAGCCAAUGGAAAGGAAAGAUAAGGAGGACAGUUGGAACCGCAUGGGUGACAGAAGGUGACCUGG